rnacentral:rRNA from 1 species
AUCUAAGUACCCCGAGGAAAAGAAAUCAACCGAGAUUCCCCCAGUAGCGGCGAGCGAACGGGGAGCAGCCCAGAGUCUGAAUCAGCUUGUGUGUUAGUGGAACGGUCUGGAAAGUCCGACGGUACAGGGUGAUAGUCCCGUACACCAAAAUGCACAGGUUGUGAACUCGAAGAGUAGGGCGGGACACGUGGUAUCCUGUCUGAAUAUGGGGGGACCAUCCUCCAAGGCUAAAUACUCCUGACUGACCGAUAGUGAACCAGUACCGUGAGGGAAAGGCGAAAAGAACCCCGGCGAGGGGAGUGAAAAAGAACCUGAAACCGUGUACGUACAAGCAGUGGGAGCACCUUC